AGCUAUUUUAAUGUAUUAGUAGUGCUAAGACAAAAUCUGGAAAGGAAUCCCAGGCAAAGGGAUGACCUAUAUUAUAGAAUGAUUAACUCCUUUUCAUUCCACUAAUCAGGAAUUUGAAAUAUGACCAUGCAGCACCUGAGACUGAGGGGGUAGUGGCUACCCUCAGCAAGUUUGCUGAUGAUACGAAGUUGGGAGGAUUGGCUGACACGCCCGAAGGCUGUGCUGCUAUUCAGCGAGACCUGGACAGGCUGGAGAGCUGGGCAGUAAGGAACCAGAUGAAGUUUAACAAAAGCAAGUGUAGAGUCUUGCACCUAGGGAGGAAUAAUUCCAUGCACCGGUACAGGUUGGGGGAUGACCUGCUGGAGAGGAGCUCUGUGGAGAGGGACCUGGGUGUCCUGGUGGACGACAGGUUGGCCAUGAGCCAGCAGUGUGCCCUUGUGGCCAAAAAGGCCAAUGGCAUUCUGGGGUGCAUUAAAAGGAGCGUGGCCAGCAGGUCGAGGGAGGUUAUCCUCCCCCUCUACUCUGCCCUGGUAAGGCCUCAUCUGGAGUACUGUGUCCAGUUCUGGGCUCCCCAGUACAAAAAAGACAGGGAUAUCUUGGAAAGAGUCCAGCGGAGAGCCACAAAGAUGGUGAAGGGCCUGGAGCAUCUCCCCUAUGAGGAAAGGCUAAGUGAACUGGGUCUGUUUAGCCUUGAGAAGAGAAGACUGAGAGGGGACCUGAUCCAGGUCUAUAAAUAUCUAAGGUGUGGGGGGCAAAGUGGCGAGGCCAGACUGUUUUCAGCAGUGUGCGGAGACAGGACAAGGGGAAAUGGCCAGAAGCUGGAGCAUAGGAAGUUCCGCACCAAUGUGCGCAAGAACUUCUUUACGGUGAGGGUGACGGAGCACUGGAACAGGCUGCCCAGGGAGGUUGUGGAGUCCCCUUCUCUGGAGAUAUUCAAGACCCGCCUGGACGCCUACCUGUGCAACCUGGUGUAGGGAUCCUGCUUUGGCAGGGGGGUUGGACUCGAUGAUCUCUGGAGGUCCCUUCCAAUCCCUACGAUUCU
rnacentral:lncRNA from 1 species